GACGAACGCUGGCGGCGUGCCUAACACAUACAAGUCAACUUGACUGAAGGAGCAAUCUGACAGUAGAGUGGCGCAAGGGUGCGUAACGCGUAAGUAACUUGCCCAAGGUAAGGAAUAACGUCGAGAAAUCGGCGCUAAUACCUCAUAAUGCAGCGGAUCCGCAUGGAUAUGUUGUUAAAGGUUUACCGCCUUGGGAUAGGCUUGCGUCUGAUUAGUUAGUUGGUGUGGUAACGGCACACCAAGGCUACGAUCAGUAACUGGUCUGAGAGGAUGAUCAGUCACACUGGAACUGAGACACGGUCCAGACUCCUACGGGAGGCAGCAGUGAGGAAUAUUGGGCAAUGCUCGAAAGAGUGACCCAGCAACGCCGCGUGGAGGAUGAAGGUAUUCUAUAUCGUAAACUCCUGUGAGAGCAGACGAAAGACAGAUUAUUAAUCUGGAUGACUGUAUGCUCAGAGGAAGCCCCGG
rnacentral:rRNA from 1 species